rnacentral:rRNA from 1 species
CCAGACUCCUACGGGAGGCAGCAGUGGGGAAUCUUCCGCAAUGGGCGCAAGCCUGACGGAGCAACGCCGCGUGAGUGAAGAAGGUCUUCGGAUCGUAAAGCUCUGUUGAUGGGGACGAACGUGCCUAAUGCGAAUAGUUUUAGGUAAUGACGGUACCCAUCGAGGAAGCCACGGCUAACUACGUGCCAGCAGCCGCGGUAAUACGUAGGUGGCGAGCGUUGUCCGGAAUCAUUGGGCGUAAAGGGAGCGCAGGCGGGCAUGUAAGUCUUUCUUAAAAGUGCGGGGCUCAACCCCGUGAUGGGAAAGAAACUAUGUGUCUUGAGUACAGGAGAGGAAAGCGGAAUUCCCAGUGUAGCGGUGAAAUGCGUAGAUAUUGGGAAGAACACCAGUGGCGAAGGCGGCUUUCUGGACUGCAACUGACGCUGAGGCUCGAAAGCCAGGGGAGCGAACGGGAUUAGAUACCCCGGUAGUCCUGGCCGUAAACGAUGGAUACUAGGUGUGGGAGGUAUCGACCCCUACCGUGCCGGAGUUAACGCAAUAAGUAUCCCGCCUGGGGAGUACGGCCGCAAGGCUGAAACUCAAAGGAAUUGACGGGGGCCCGCACAAG